AUAUGGACCCCGUCUUCUUUCUCCUUCUUCCUCACCCCCCGUCCUUCACCAAAUUGCCUUAAAUUUCAGAAUAGAGACUCCACAAAUUGCACCCAAUAAAAUCCAACAACACCAAAACUUAAAAGUCUUCAAACACAACUCUCUCUCUCUCUCUCGUUAUAUUUCUCUAUUCUCGGGUUUCAAAAUCGGUCUUAAUCGAACUCCUAAAAACUCAAAAAAUCAAUAUGGAAGGUGAUAUGAAAUUGGAGGUGCAAAUAGAAGCGCUUUUAAAUAUAGAGAAGCAGAUGAGAUUUGAUCCGUUCGGAGAGGGAUUUUUGGAGUAUUGAUUAUUGCUUAUUUGAGAUCUAAGUGUUGCUGAUAGGGGUGAUUGCUAGAGGGUGACAUCUCUACCUAUUGGAGAUUUUGAGG